rfam:Ornithorhynchus anatinus chromosome X3, whole genome shotgun sequence.
ACCCUCUCAGUGUCACAACUGGAGAGUUUCCAGCACUCUACCAGUCUUGACUACGGGAGGGAGAGUCAAGUAGAGGCAUAUCCAUUCCAUUCCUAGCUUGGCCAGUGGCUAGUGAGAGAAAAGCAAUCUGCUCCAAGG